rnacentral:rRNA from 1 species
CUUGACAAACUUAUAAGAGGUCCAGCCUGCCCAGUGACUCUGUUCAACGGCCGCGGUAUCCUAACCGUGCGAAGGUAGCGUAAUCACUUGUUCUUUAAAUGAGGACUAGUAUGAAUGGCACCACGAAGGUUAUACUGUCUCCUUUUUCUAAUCAGUGAAACUAAUCUUCCCGUGAAGAAACGGGAAUAAAAAUAUAAGACGAGAAGACCCUAUGGAGCUUUAAACAAAUAUACACCUGCCUCUUUACCAAAAAUUUCAGAAGACAAGUAAUUACCCGGGCAUUUUGAUAUAGCGUUUUAGGUUGGGGUGACCGCGGAGCAAAAGAUAACCUCCGCAGCGAACGGGAGUAUUCCCUAAACCAAGGGCCACAACCCCAAGUAUUGAUAAAUCAACACCAAUUGACCCAAUAAAUUUGAUCAAUGAAC